rnacentral:lncRNA from 1 species
UUGAUAGUGUUUAUCUCACAUACUUCAAACACACCCAGCCUUUGAAAAUCUGUUGAGUUGGCUCAAAUAUACCGCGGAACUUUUGAGUAAGUUAGAUGAUAAUAUCGUGAGAGUUGUGCACAUCGUAAGCAGUCAACAAACAGAAUUUCGAUCCUGUAUCGAGGACAUAGAAUGCUUUCCAUGUCUCAUGUGCUUGAUCCCCUUAACAUUUAAAACGUUUGAAAAAUCUCAAAGCCUUGCACUCUAUGCACGUCAUGCUUAGCUAGUACAAGAAGCUUAUGCCAAGAAAGGACGCAGAACAGUUCUCCCUCAUCUGAAGAAGGAAGGUCUACCAUAUGAUGGCACUGUGGUUGGAUAAUUGAAAGCAGUUGCGAAAACGAAAUUGUUCGUCAGAGAUUAUAUUUUGAGAAUUCAGGAUUAAAAUAAUUUUUGUAAAUAGGACAUGAGUGGAAAUUCCAAAUGUUCUAAGUGCUCCGGUUAUUAUUUUCAGGAAAGCAAUAAAACAGCAUAAGUCAAAUGGUAACUCAAAAACUUUAUUCAAAUGUAUUUUAUUGGUAAUAAAGGAGUAUAUUCUUUCCUUAAUAUGCAAAAAAAAAAAUGAAGAAACGUUCUAUAUACCGUGGUGCAUCGAACUCUUUGAAUGAAAACUAUAUUGAUACAUAGAACCUGGUAAACCUAAAUAAUUUAAUAGAUGAAAUUAACUUAUAAAGAUAAAUCAUAGUUUUAAUUAUUUAGAAUGUUUUGAUAAUAGUUUUUAGCAGUUUCUGGCAAAAUUCCUACAUGGCAGAGAAAUCUUUUUUCUUGUCAUCCGACAGGAAUGACUUCUGAAUCAAUGACGUAUAAACUUUUUUAAUACCAUCAGGUUUACCCCUCUUUUAGUACAUUAACACGUUUGCACAAGUCUGUGUCAUUGAAAGUGGACUUAUACUGGAUAAAACCUGGAUCAUCUUUAGACACUUUUAUCGUAAUAGCCUUUGUAAAAUUUACUUUUAAUAUAGAGUCAUAGGCGUGUUUUAAAUGUAGAAAGUACGAAUGUUCUAGGUUAAGUAGCUAAUACACCAUGGCACACAGAACCUUUGGAAAAAUCAUAUGUCCCGUACUUAAACCAGUGCCAUCUUUGAGGAACGUAACAAACCACUUCUAAAGAGGUUUGGUACAUAGAGCAUUAUUAGGCUUAUUGGCGAUGGCACAUAGAACAUUAAGAAAAAACACCUCAGUUUUGAGAAAAUUGGAACUUAGAACGUUUGGAAUUUUCACUCUUCUGGAGAUUUCCUAAAAUUUUACUCAAAAUGGGUGGUAGACUUAUUGACUCAUAUGACGGAGUAAAAUGUGUUGGUUUUUGUUUAGGGAACGUUUGUGUUUCCAUGUUACAAGGAAGUAGAUACGUAGUAGAGAAUUAAAUAGGUAUAAAUUGAAUAUAAUGGCUUUUUUUGGGUAGGUGUUUGAGGAUUUUAAGAGUUUAAUUUAUUUUAAGAGUAAAGUUUUAAGGUCAAAACCUGGAGCUUUCUUUGAUUUGAGAUGUUUUAUGGCCGAAAGAAUGUCUAAAGAUG